UUGAACUCUAACUGGAAUUGUGUGGUCGAAACAAGAAUAGUGAAACAAACCCCAUUUUUCGCCAAAUUGGAGAAAAAUUGCUUCUGUCUGCAGAUUCCCAAGGAUCACUGAUAGAUUUCAAUUUGAGUGGAGAUGUAGUUGUCAGUAACGAAGAAAUCAUCAACGAUGCACAAAAUACCAGGGCCGUCUAAUGUAAGACCUACAUUACAUAACAGUUUACUUACCCAAAACGGACGUGGUUUGAAGCAUUUGCAAAUUUUGUCUGAAGAAAAAAAAUAAUUCAAGCGUUUUGGGCUUAAGGGACGCGCCAUAUCGUUUAAAUGUGUGGAACCUACGUCGGAAAAUUCAAUGCAAUUUGUGAAAAUUGGAAUUGGUAAACGCGUGGCGUGGACAGUGAUGAUUAUGCUGCCAUUUCAUUUAGGAAACUGCAUCAGUUGAAUGUUGAUAUAAUGAAAGUUGUAGCAUCAGUGUACCAGAGUAAUACUGGA